CUAAGUCACUAGGGGUGCCCUCAGCGCUUCUGCGCUGCCGGGCUGAGAUCACACCCUCCGAACCUGAUCCGGGUCAUGCCGGCGCAGGGAAGUGAGAAGAGACGCUC
rfam:Synechococcus sp. GFB01 Contig2, whole genome shotgun sequence.